UACGUAGGGUGCUAGCGUUGUUCGGAAUCAUUGGGCGUAAAGCGCGUGUAGGCGGUUAGUUAAGUCAGAUGUGAAAUCCCUGGGCUCAACCGAGGAAGUGCAUUUGAAACUAACUAGCUGGAGAGUGGUAGAGGGCGGUGGAAUUCCGUGUGUAGAGGUGAAAUUCGUAGAUAUACGGAGGAAUACCGGUGGCGAAGGCGGCCGCCUGGACCAUUUCUGACGCUGAGACGCGAAAGCGUGGGGAGCAAACAGG
rnacentral:rRNA from 1 species